UUGGAGGGCAAGUCUGGUGCCAGCAGCCGCGGUAAUUCCAGCUCCAAUAGCGUAUAUUAAAGUUGUUGCAGUUAAAAAGCUCGUAGUUGAAUUUCGGGAUUGACACAUCGGUCGUGCCUUAAGGGGUAUGAACUGGUGUAGUCAAUUUCUCACCUUCUGGAGAACCACGAUGCCCUUAAUUGGGUGUCGCGGGGAACCAGGACCUUUACUUUGAAAAAAUUAGAGUGUUUAAAGCAGGCAUUUUGCUUGAAUACAUUAGCAUGGAAUGAUAAAAUAGGACGGCAUGAUUCUAUUUUGUUGGUUUCUAGGAUCACCGUAAUGAUUAAUAGGGAUAGUUGGGGGCAUUAGUAUUCAAUUGUCAGAGGUGAAAUUCUUGGAUUUAUUGAAGACUAACUACUGCGAAAGCAUUUGCCAAGGAUGUUUUCAUUAAUCAAGAACGAAAGUUAGGGGAUCGAAGACGAUCAGAUACCGUCGUAGUCUUAACCAUAAACUAUGCCGACUAGGAAUCAGACGAUGUUAAUUUUUUAAUGACUCGUUUGGCACCUUACGGGAAACCAAAGUGUUUGGGUUC
rnacentral:rRNA from 1 species